UGAACGCCUGUAGCAACUGUCGUCCCUCUGAGUCGAGUAUGUUUCAACCGUUUCCAUAGCAACCACCUUCAAAUGCCCACAGGAUCACAGAAAUGUCAGGUCAGCAUCUCUCUGCUGAAAUCUGGACACGUCCGUAGAAAUAUAGAAAUGUUGUCCUAGAACCUGCGGAGGGCAGGCAAGCAUCCAAUUAUCAAGCAAAAACAAGGAGAUUGUCCUUUCCCACAUCAGGCGCACACUCCAGUCUUGACAGCGGAGCUCGCUCUUGGAAAUGGAGUCCGAGGAUGCGGCGCAGAUUGAAAAACAACACAUCUAAGUCUUGAUUUCCGACAGCAGGCUGGAGACGGCUCAGAAGGAAAAGCAGAUCAGGUUCAGAUGUUGGAUGAAUAGAAUGUGAAAAGUGCAUGAAACCCCCGGAGACUCCAGCGGAAGGUUGCUCUGCACCGCUGGAGAUCAACACUUCUGAAGUCCCACAUUCAAACCUCCUUCACCCUCGUGCUGCAGAGCAGCAGUUUUGUGACGCAGAGACACGUUCAAUAAAGUUUUGAUGCGUCACAGAACCUUCAGUGGUUUUAGUCUCACAUCCAAACACUUUACUAGGGAUAAAGUACAGUGAGUUUUCUAAAAAAAAAAAAAAACAUCUAAUUUCCUGUUUAUUUACUCAAAGCUUUGUAUUUGCAGUAAUAAACAUCUUUGGAGACAUAAAAUUGUUGUUUUUGUUAUAAUUAUUACUUUUACGGUGUCAAUCUACAACUAACGAAUAACGAGCAAUAUUGCAACUGAUUUAAUUGCUUCCCUGGUGACAUCUGAACUAAUAAAAAACAUUUAACAAUCUAAAAUUGGUCAAACUUUCCUUAACAAAUGAAAAAAAGAAAGAAAUUAAAAAAAA